rnacentral:rRNA from 1 species
UUCUUGGUCAUUUAGAGGAAGUAAAAGUCGUAACAAGGUUUCCGUAGGUGAACCUGCGGAAGGAUCAUUAAAGAAAUUUAAUAAUUUUGAAAAUGGAUUUUUUUGUUUUGGCAAGAGCAUGAGAGCUUUUACUGGGCAAGAAGACAAGAGAUGGAGAGUCCAGCCGGGCCUACGCUUAAGUGCGCGGUCGUGCUAGGCUUGUAAGUUUCUUUCUUGCUAUUCCAAACGGUGAGAGAUUUCUGUGCUUUUGUUAUAGGACAAUUAAAACCGUUUCAAUACAACACACUGUGGAGUUUUCAUAUCUUUGCAACUUUUUCUUUGGGCAUUCGAGCAAUCGGGGCCCAGAGGUAACAAACACAAACAAUUUUACCUAUUCAUUAAAUUUUUGUCAAAAACAAGAAUUUUCGUAACUGGAAAUUUUAAAAUAUUAAAAACUUUCAACAACGGAUCUAUUGGUUCUCGCAUCGAUGAAGAACGCAGCGAAAUGCGAUACGUAAUGUGAAUUGCAGAAUUCCGUGAAUCAUCGAAUCUUUGAACGCACAUUGCGCCCCUUGGUAUUCCAGGGGGCAUGCCUGUUUGAGCGUCAUUUCCUUCUCAAACAUUCUGUUUGGUAGUGAGUGAUACUCUUUGGAGUUAACUUGAAAUUGCUGGCCUUUUCAUUGGAUGUUUUUUUUCCAAAGAGAGGUUUCUCUGCGUGCUUGAGGUAUAAUGCAAGUACGGUCGUUUUAGGUUUUACCAACUGCGGCUAAUCUUUUUUUAUACUGAGCGUAUUGGAACGUUAUCGAUAAGAAGAGAGCGUCUAGGCGAACAAUGUUCUUAAAGUUUGACCUCAAAUCAGGUAGGAGUACCCGCUGAACUUAAGCAUAUCAAUAAGCGGAGGAA